GAUGAACGCUGGCGGCGUGCCUAAUACAUGCAAGUCGAGCGAACAGACGAGGAGCUUGCUCCUUUGACGUUAGCGGCGGACGGGUGAGUAACACGUAGGUAACCUACCUAAAAGACUGGGAUAACUUCGGGAAACCGGAGCUAAUACCGGAAAAUAUUUCGAACCGCAUGGUUCGAUAGUGAAAGAUGGCAUUGAUAUCACUUAUAGAUGGACCUACGCCGUAUUAGCUAGUCGGUAAGGUAACGGCUUACCAAGGCAACGAUACGUAGCCGACCUGAGAGGGUGAUCGUCCACACUAGAACUGGGACACGGUCCAGCCUCCUGCGUGACGCCGCAGUAGGGUGUCUUCCGCAAUAGGCGAUAACCUGACGGAGCAACGCCACGUGAGUCAUGAAAAUCUUCGGAUCGUAAAACUCUGUUAUUAGGGAAAAACGAACGUGUAAGUAGCUGUGCACGUCUUGGCGGUACCUAAUCGGAAAGCCACGGCUAACUACAUG
rnacentral:rRNA from 1 species